rnacentral:tRNA from 1 species
CAGGGAGACAACAAAAUGUUUUAUAUUAUUAUUUUGUCACCUUAGGUCGAUCGGUAUCUCACAUUCUUAAUUUAUUAAGGAUUUCAUUUCCUAAGUUUUUCUAGGUCACACCCAUUAUUUUUCCUGGGCCAUUAGCUCAGGUGGUUAGAGCGCACCCCUGAUAAGGGUGAGGUCCCUGGUUCAAGUCCAGGAUGGCCCAUAUCUCUAUGUUGGGGGUAUAGCUCAGUUGGUAGAGCGCCUGCUUUGCAAGCAGGAUGUCAGCGGUUCGAGUCCGCUUACCUCCACUGAUUACCACCUCUUCCAUAAUCUGUAGAAAGGGAAUUUUUUGAGUCGUGACCAAAUUCUGAAAGAAUCUAGCUUCCUAAUGAAAUCAUUAAGAUGCUGGACUCAUUGAAUUAAUUUCAUUGUUUUCAGAGAACCUUGACAACUGCAUAGAUUAUUUUUUAAAGACAAUAAGCAUCUUUAAUGAUGCAGAUUUAUUAUUUGUGCGAAUGCAUUAAUAACAAUUCUAUUAAGCUGAUGCUUCAAUUUUUGAAGUUAUU